rnacentral:rRNA from 1 species
AAACGGGUGCGGAACACGUACACAACCUCCCGAGAAGUGGGGAAUAGCCCAGAGAAAUUUGGAUUAAUACCCCGUAACAUAGUGAAAUGGCAUCAUUUUACUAUUAUAGCUUCGGCGCUUCUUGAUGGGUGUGCGGCUGAUUAGAUAGUUGGCGGGGUAACGGCCCACCAAGUCUACGAUCAGUAGCUGAUGUGAGAGCAUGAUCAGCCACACGGGCACUGAGACACGGGCCCGACUCCUACGGGAGGCAGCAGUAAGGAAUAUUGGUCAAUGGACGAAAGUCUGAACCAGCCAUGCCGCGUGAAGGAUUAAGGUCCUCUGGAUUGUAAACUUCUUUUAUCUGGGACGAAAAAAGGCGAUUCUUCGUCACUUGACGGUACCAGAUGAAUAAGCACCGGCUAACUCCGUGCCAGCAGCCGCGGUAAUACGGAGGGUGCAAGCGUUAUCCGGAUUCACUGGGUUUAAAGGGUGCGUAGGCGGGUAUUUAAGUCAGUGGUGAAAUCCUAGAGCUUAACUCUAGAACUGCCAUUGAUACUAUUUAUCUUGAAUAUUGUGGAGGUAAGCGGAAUAUGUCAUGUAGCGGUGAAAUGCUUAGAUAUGACAUAGAACACCUAUUGCGAAGGCAGCUUACUACGCAUAUAUUGACGCUGAGGCACGAAAGCGUGGGGAUCAAACAGGAUUAGAUACCCUGGUAGUCCACGCCCUAAACGAUGAUUACUCGACAUUUGUGAUACACUAUAAGUGUCUGAGCGAAAGCAU